GUGGCUGCCGCCAGAAUUUGUCAUUAGUAUUUUUAAUUUUUGUUCAUAGCACCACCUAUUUUACAUGUGCAUCGCCCUUUAAGUAAUUUCUCUUUGUUACUUAAGAAAGAUUUACAGCGCAUGCCUAGCGCGGGUCAAUGUCAAUAAAAGGCCUACAAACACAUUUUUAGUACGCACGAGAAAAUAGUUCCAUACAUUCAAGCAUAAGAAAUAAGUUAUUAUCAUUAAUUAUGUACUGAAAUGUAAAGUAAUGUUCAUUGAAAUGCGAAUAACAUUAGUAAAUUCUGUCAAAACUAAAUCGUUGGUCGUUUUAAGUAAAAUUCCAGUUGGACAAAUUAUUUGAUAUCCGUGUGCCGAUAAGUUCGGUGAACGCGUUGACCCUUGGCUUUUCUGAAUUACGACCUGGCCCAAGCAAUACGUGUUUUGUGGGGUCUUCAAGAAACGCCAAAGUUUCAAGGUAUAUUUUGCUGCCCAAGGAUGGAAAAGUCCUGCCAACGAGGUAUGUUAUGGCAGAAAUGUAUUUAGAACAAUUUCAUAUUACUUACAUGAUCUAUCAGUUUGUAAUUUUGAUACAUUAUAAGUGUUUUUUCAUGUUGUGAUUAGUAGCGUUCAGUGAGCUAGUUUUCCACACACGUGAGAUUGUUUACAUCUAACGCUAAAUUAUGGAAAGCCAUUUGAAUAUUUCAUGUUUGAGUAAUUAUUCAUGAAUAAGAAUUCUCUGUAAAUCAGUAGCAUAUAAAACUUGCUUUUAUAUUCAUAGUCUUAACUAGUAUGCUCUUAAUGCAUGUUUAUCAAAUUUCUCGUAAGAGACUUGUAGCUCAUAUCAUAAAUGUUUUAUCAUGAACCCUUUUAUACUCAUUCUGACAAAUCAUAUCUGUAUGAACAACUCUCGUUAAGAACAUCUAUCUGGUUUAUCAACUCUUUAAAUUGACAAGUAAUCUGUAUAUUUACUUGUGUACAUAUAUUUGUAUCUUUCGCACGGUAUUUAUUAUUCUGUGCUAUUUUAUACUUUUUAUGUUCACAGUUUUCACGGCACUGUUCAUCACUGUUACUUUGUUUUGACAAUCGUUAAGUCAAAUAAAGACAUUCGUCACCAGAAAAUGAACAUCCGUUUCAACGUUGAGUUAUUUUGAUCCUGCGGCAGCAACAGUGAAAACUCGGAUGGACAUGACACCUGAGAAAUCCAUAAUUGGAUCAACUACUCAAGCCAAAUAUUUGAUGUGAUGUCUGGAACUGCAUUCGUCCUCACCUGGCCACUAAGGAAGCUGACGAGGAACUCGGCAAGACACGGGCAAUCAAACGGCUUGGAGGUUGAUCAUCGCUCAAGGAUGUCAGGUUCAUUUUCAUCAAAAUAAUUGAAGAUUGAAAUCAAAGAAAGAACACUAGAACAUUUAUAUGCGAUUGAAAUUUCUCGUUUGGAAACUUAAGCAAUAAACAAGCUAAAGAUUGAUUUAGGCUUGCAUAUCAACUUCUCGAGAGAAUUUCAGAUUUAAAACCUUUAAGAUCUCUAACAGAGUCUUGGUUCGUAUCCCAGAAUUGUAACAGCUAUUUAUUCUGAUUUGUUUGGAUAACGUAAUUUAAAACAACAUAAGACUUGAUUCCCUUAUGAUGUUUGGGAUUUAAAUUUUCAGCUAAGAUUAUAAUUUUCUUAAAAUACUUAUCUAACGAGUGGAGAUAAGUUUACAGAAUUUGUUAUGUGUAUGUAACAUCUCAUCAAGAAUAACCUUGUGUGUGCACUUAUAGAUGAUUUUGAGACAAAAUAACAUGAUCAAGUUCAUUUGAAAGGAUAUUUUUUUAUUAAGAUUGAAAAAAUUUCUAAACUAAAAAGAAACUGAUUACCGAUAGUGUUUUCCUUUAAGAACAAGGGAACAAAAGGUCAUAAUAAUUUGAAAUUGAUUAGAAAUCGGGUUACCUUGUUGAUAUUGGAAUUGAUUUGGAUUCAUGAUAAUAUCAUUAAUUCUAUGCUACGUUUGAUAUUUUUAUUAUUUCAAAGCUUGAAUGUAUCGAAUUGUAUGUCCUGCGUAGCGCUGUGUUUUUAUCGUGCCCGAAUUGAGAUUUGGGUUAAAGCAGUUAUCUUUGCUAUUUGUUAUCAGCUACUGCCAUUUGCUGUUACCAGCCCACUCCCACACGCCCAUUUCUAUUUCACUUCCAAACUUUGAUUCAAAUUCAAACUUCAAAUUUCGGUCAAGAUUAUUUAAAUUUGAUCUCAAAUACUGAUUUUCUCGUUGGUUUAUUUACCUCAAAAAUAUAUCGUUCAAUAUGGAAGGGCAACAACCAACUGAAAAUAACUUGACUACUGACUCGACUAACUUACCUCCUGAAACACUUCGCCGCUCCACUCGUCCUGUCAAAUUGACAGAGAAAGCAUUGCAGAAUAAAGAAGACGACCUUCAAGGUAAGUUUUUUGUUGAACAUAUAGAUUUGCAUUCGAUCAUACAAUCUACUCGAAAUAGCUUAUUGUCUCAAAACAUUGAUGGUGAUAGCUUAGCAGUGAAUAAGCUUGACAUUACUGCUAGGCUCAAUUCUUUGAAGGAGAUAUUUGUUGAGCUAAAAAGGCUCAAUGAAGACUCCAUUGAUGAUGAGGUUAUUGAGGCAAUGGAUGAAUCUUCUAUUUCUGUUCGUAAUAUCUUAUCGGAUAUUGAUAAGGUAUCCAACAUGUCUUCUUCUAGACAACCAUCAAUUCGGUUGGCGCACUCAACACAAUCACGACUCUCGAGGACAUCUUCCAGAUCGUCACGACGAGUUGCAGUCGCAGCAGAAGCCGCUGCAUUACAAGAAGAGCUUACAGCCCAGAAGCUUCAAAAUGAACGGGAAAAGGAGCUCGAAAGAAUGGAACUUGAGGAAGAAAUGAGGAGGAAGCAAGUAGUUUUCAAAAUGUCCGAGCUGAAAAGACAACUAGAAGAGGAAAGACUACAAGGCAAGCUCAAGGCACAAGAAGCAAUUAUGAGAGUCUACGAUGAAGAAGAUGGAACCAGCACAGUCUCUUCUUCAUCCUCGCGUGGAGGUAAAACUGUUGUCAAAAAGAUCGAAGAUCAGCCAAAUCCAACUGAUGUGAUCCCAAGGGCAUCUCCCAAGUUAGAAAGCAAAUUGAUUGAUGAACCAGCCUCCAUCGUGUCACAGCAAGCGCAAGUAGUGCUUGAUCCCCAAGCUCCGAUGUUCCAGCCAAGAUCACCAGUUUUAGAUCUCGCUGAUGCCUUGGCUCAGAGUCGUCUACCCGUUCCGGAGCCGCCAAUAUUCACUGGAGACCCACUCCAAUAUCCAGAUUGGGUGUCGGCUUUCACUACUCUGGUAGAGCGAAGAGGCAUCCCUCCUGGUGAAAAAAUUCACUACCUUCGAAGGUAUCUUGGUGGUCCAGCAAAGGAGGCAGUCAGUGGCUACUUUCUCCUGAGGUCAGAAAAUGCAUUUGAGCAAGCAAAGAGCACCCUUCAAAAGAGGUUUGGCAAUCCAUUUGCUAUUGCUGAAGCCUUUCGGACAAAGUUGGAUGUGUGGCCCAAGAUAACCAGCAAGGAUCACAAUGGGCUGCAGCGGUUUGCAGACUUCCUUCAACAGUGUCUGGUAGCCAAGGCUGAGAUUGUCGAUCUCAACAUUCUGGAUGAUAUACGAGAGAUCAACCGAAUGGUUGCUCGACUACCAGAUCAUAUCGUCCAUAGAUGGAAUCGCUCGGUGGCACAGACAAAAAGGGAGCGACUUUGUUAUCCUAGGUUUGCUGACUUCGUUUCUUUCAUUGGGAACGAAGCAGACAUUGCUAAUGAUCCUCUGCUCACUGUGGAUGUUGGCAAGACUAGAGAGAGAAAACAGGAAACCGCAGUCUCAAAACGGGUAACCCUCUCUACGUCUGGCUCAACUUCACAGAAGCAAUGUCUGUUGUGCAAGAGACAACAUCAUUCCCUGAAUGACUGUCGGGAAUUCCUUCGGAAAGACAUGUCCCAGAGAAAGGAUUUCAUCAAAAAUGAAAGACUUUGCUAUGGCUGUCUUGAAAAAGGCCAUAUGUCUAAAUAUUGCCAAAGCAGACUGGUCUGCAAGAAGUGCAGUAAAAGGCAUCCAAGCUGCCUUCAUGAGGACCAAAGAGAUUCGAACAAGGCCAACUUGGCAUCAAGCCAACCGAAGGAAGCUCAAACCGCAUCGACCUCAAAUCCUCAAGCUGUAACGCACAAAGUACAAGGCGAUGAACGUAGUGACCUUACAUCAAUGAUUGUGCCUGUGUACCUUUCUAGUACAGAGAGGCCUGACAAGGAGGUUCUAGUGUAUGCACUACUAGACUCCAUGUCAAACACCACCUUCCUUUCCGAAGAUGUCGGCCAAGACCUGGAUGUACAAUCCCAGCCUGCCACAUUGUCGUUGACAACUUUGACAGAUGAGAUAUCGAUCUCAACCUUCAAGUAUGACAAUCUUCGUGUCAGAGGUUUUUAUUCCUCGGAGAAAAUUCGUCUACCCUCCACAUUUACUAGGCAGUCUAUCCCUCUGGACGACAGUCAUAUCCCGACUCCAGAAACUGCCUCCAAGUGGCCUCAUCUCGUGUGUGUGCAGGAUAUGAUAGCGCCAAAACAAGACUGUCCUGUCGGUCUUCUGAUUGGCUACAAUUGUGCACAAGCCCUUGCUCCUCUGACGUCAGUCCGAGGCCAAAAUGGUGAGCCGUAUGCUGUCCAAACAGACCUUGGUUGGAGUAUUGUUGGAGGUCAGUCUGACUUGUCCAACAGCUUCGAUUCGUUUGGCCACACAUACAGGACAGUCAGCAUGAAGGUAGAGGCCCCGAUCGAUAUCAAGAAGGUGACAUUCGCUUACCAGUCUCCCUUAAAGGAAGCGACUGCAUCGGAUUUCCUUCAGCUCAUGGAAAGGGACUUCCAAGAAGCUGAACAAGCUGAUGCAAUGUCACAAAAUGACAAAAAAUUCAUUCAAGUUGUCACCGAAGGUUUACGCCAGAGAGAGGAUGGGUUCUAUGAGAUGCCUCUUCCAUUCAAGAAAGGACCGCCAUCUCUUCCGAACAAUCGACAGGCUGCUUUGGGUCGAUUAGCAGGUCUCAAGAAACAGUUCCUAAAGAAACCUGAAUAUCACAGUCACUACAAGGUAUUCAUGAAGGAGAUCUUGGCACGCGGUGAUGCAGAGAUGGUCGGUGAUAGUAGUGACAAAGGCUUGUGGUAUAUUCCUCACCAUGGGGUAUAUCACCCUAAGAAGCCUGGCAAGGUCAGGGUUGUAUUCGAUUGUAGCGCCAGGUAUCUUGGGACAAGCCUCAAUGACCAUCUCCUGCAAGGCCCUGACUUGAUUAAUCCUCUCAUCGGUGUCCUGUUGAGAUUUCGCCAAGGUCCUGUGGCAUUCAUGUGCGAUGUGGAGAAGAUGUACCACCAGUUUAAGGUUGCAGAUCCACAUCAAAACUAUCUGCGUUUCUUGUGGUGGGAGGAUGGGGAUCUCUCCAAGACCCCAGUAGAUCAUAGGAUGAAGGUUCACCUCUUUGGGGCAACCUCAUCUCCGGGCUGUGCCAACUUUGGCUUAAAACAGAUUGCGGAGGACCACAAGAAACUCGGUGACCGUGCAGCCAACUUCCUCAAGAGGAACUUUUAUGUCGAUGAUGGCCUAAAAAGCAUGUCUUCUGAACAGGAAGCAGCUGUGCUAAUCAAGGACGCAACUCAAAUGUGUGCUAAAGGCAAUCUACGUCUGCACAAAUUUGUGUGCAAUAGCAAGGACGUAACCAGCACCAUUCCAAAAUCGGAACGUGCCACUGUCACGAAUGCAAGUGUUCAGCUAGGUGAACAAACCUCACCAAUCGAAAGAGCUCUUGGGCUUCAGUGGUGCGUCAGUUCUGAUGAGUUCUCCUUCCGACUUACUCUGAAGGAUCAACCCCUCACUCGACGAGGUAUUCUAGCUACAGUUGCGUCUGUAUAUGAUCCCCUUGGUCUCAUUGCACCAGUUGUCCUUGCUGGCAGAAUGAUUCUGCAGGAAAUGUGCAAACAAAAGAUGGAUUGGGAUCAUCCCGUUCCUGACUAUCUUCGGACAAGAUGGGAAAUAUGGAGACAGGAGAUCCUGAAGCUAGAAACUGCAAAGAUUCCACGCUGCUUCCAGCCCAAAGAUUUCGGAGAGGCUGAGGAAGUGGAAUUGCACCACUUCUCAGAUGCCUCAUUAUCUGGAUAUGGACAAUGUUCAUAUGUCAGAUUACGAAAUCAAAGGGGACAAGUCCACUGCUCUCUUGCCAUGGCAAAGGCGAGAGUAGCACCGCUCAAGCAGUCUACCGUCCCCAGACUGGAGCUUCAGGCAGCAACCUUAUCUGCCAAGGUUGCAAAAAUACUGAAUAAGGAGCUAGACUACAGCUCAGUCAAGAAUAUCUUCUGGACCGACUCCAAGGUUGUUCUGGGUUACCUGUACAACCAGUCUAAGCGCUUCCACAUGUUCGUUGCGAACAGAGUGGAUUGUAUUCUGAGAACCACAAGUUGUAGUCAGUGGAAUUAUGUUACUAGCGGUGAUAAUCCAGCUGACUACGCAUCACGUGGACUGACAACAGAGGAACUUCUUUCGUCAAACUGGUUAGGAGGACCAGACUUCCUUUGGGAAAGUGAAGUUGCUAAGCAAGAUGUCACACUAGAGGUUUCUCCUGACGACGUUGAAGUGAAGUCUUCGACAGUACAUACAGUAAUGUCAAAGACCAAGAUUUCAACCUUUACGUCAUUUGAAGAUAGGUUGAACCGCUUCGCCAUGUUGGACAGCGCUAUUAGAGCGGUAGCUGUACUAGUGAGGUGUUGUUACAGGCGCAAGGGACAUGACAUAGAUGAUGUUGAGAUCAAAAGAGUCGCUGAGAGAAAUCUCCUGCAUGCUGUCCAGAAAGAAGCCUUCUGUGAUGAAAGACAGCAAAUCAAAUCUGACAAACAUGCUGUGUCAAAAUCUAGCCGCCUGAGUCAAUUAGAUCCAUUUCUUGACAAACAAGACCUCCUACGGGUGGGAGGACGCAUGAAGAGGUCUGAAAUGGUGUAUGGAGUUAAGCACCCUAUUAUCCUUCCGAAGGGAAGUAGACUUUCCAUGCUUGUCGCACUUCACUAUCAUGCGAAGAUUUCUCACCAAGGUAGAAAUAUGACCAUCAACGCAAUCAGAUCAAGUGGAUACUGGAUCAUCGGUUGCAGAAGCAUUGUCUCAUCUCUGAUCGGCACAUGCACCCAUUGCAUUAGACUAAGAGGCAAGUUGGGUGGACAGAAGAUGGCUGACCUUCCAUGUGAACGACUUGAGCCAUCGCCCCCUUUCACUUAUUGCGGUCUGGACUGUUUUGGUCCAUUUGUAAUCAAAGAAGGGCGCAAAGAGCUCAAGCGCUAUGGCCUCAUCCUGACAUGCAUGGCAAUGAGAGCCAUUCAUGUGGAAGUAUUGGAUGACAUGUCAUCCGAUGCAUUCAUCAACGGACUGAGAUGUUUCAUUGCUAUUCGAGGAAACGUAAGGCGGAUUCAGUGUGACCAGGGCUCCAAUUUUGUUGGAGCCAAGCAUGAACUGAAACAAGCUCUCCGUGAGAUGGAUGCGGACCAUGUCGCCCGCAAUCUUCUGGAGCAGAACUGUGAGUUCAAAAUGAAUCCUCCUUCCUCUAGCCAUAUGGGAGGUGUAUGGGAGAGACAAAUCAGAAAUGUGCGCAAUGUUCUCAAUGGAUUAUUGGAACAGUGCGGAACGCAGUUGAAUGUCUCCUCUCUACGGACAUUUCUCUAUGAGGCCAUGGCUAUCGUAAACAGCCGUCCAUUGAGUGUGGAUAACCUGGAAAGUCCUGAUGGUCCUCUUCCGUUGACUCCCAAUCAUGUUCUGACCAUGAAAUCCGGUCUUAUACUGCCUCCACCUGGAAGCUUUGAAAGGGAGGACAUCUAUCUCCGCAAAAGAUGGCGUCGAGUCCAAUACUUGACACAGUUGUUCUGGACACGAUGGCAGAAGGAGUACCUGCACACGCUUCAACCAAGAAAAACUUGGACUGAAAAGAAGACCAAUGUGCACGUAGACGACAUAGUACUCUUGAAAGAUGAAGCCAUUUGUCGGACAGAUUGGAGAGUUGCGAGAGUCAUGGAAACAAUGUCCAGUGAUGAUGGUCUAGUCCGGAAGGUGCGACUUCUCAUGGCGACCCCAGACUUGGACAAAAAAGGUAAGCCAGUAAAUAAGAGGACAACUCUUGAAAGGCCAGUACACAAACUGGUAGUUUUGAUCCGCAGCACCGACAAGGCGAUUGAAGACUAAGCUUGACUUUAAUAGCUGACAUUCACUUUUACCCAGACAAAUGGCUUUGACUAACCUGGACUUUCAUCCUGCCCUGACAUUCUAAGAAAUAUUUUCUCAAUUUGGGGAAGACCAUUUGUAUUUAUAAAUUUUGCAAGUCGGUCAAUUCCUUGUUUUGUUUCAAAUAGAUAGUUUUGUUGUUUGAAAAAUCAGUUAGAUGAUUUGGGUGGGAGUGUGGCUGCCGCCAGAAUUUGUCAUUAGUAUUUUUAAUUUUUGUUCAUAGCACCACCUAUUUUACAUGUGCAUCGCCCUUUAAGUAAUUUCUCUUUGUUACUUAAGAAAGAUUUACAGCGCAUGCCUAGCGCGGGUCAAUGUCAAUAAAAGGCCUACAAACACAUUUUUAGUACGCACGAGAAAAUAGUUCCAUACAUUCAAGCAUAAGAAAUAAGUUAUUAUCAUUAAUUAUGUACUGAAAUGUAAAGUAAUGUUCAUUGAAAUGCGAAUAACAUUAGUAAAUUCUGUCAAAACUAAAUCGUUGGUCGUUUUAAGUAAAAUUCCAGUUGGACAAAUUAUUUGAUAUCCGUGUGCCGAUAAGUUCGGUGAACGCGUUGACCCUUGGCUUUUCUGAAUUACGACCUGGCCCAAGCAAUACGUGUUUUGUGGGGUCUUCAAGAAACGCCAAAGUUUCAAGGUAUAUUUUGCUGCCCAAGGAUGGAAAAGUCCUGCCAACGAGUUUUCACGGCACUGUUCAUCACUGUUACUUUGUUUUGACAAUCGUUAAGUCAAAUAAAGACAUUCGUCACCAGAAAAUGAA